GAUGCUUAUCAUACCAGCACCAAUAUGCCGGAUCCUAUCAGAAUUCUGUGAUUAAGCAUGCUAGGGCUAGAGUAUUACUAAGACCUCCUAGGAAGUCCUGCUCUAUUUGUAUGA
rnacentral:rRNA from 1 species